UUGCAUUCUGAAUUCGUAUUGUUUGUUUCGCUUCUGAUGAUUCAGGCUCAACAUGUUUUCGCCAGUCAUGAUGCACAGCACAUGUUUUUGUGCCAUUGCCUCAUAACGUGAGAUAGCGAGAAGAGAACCAUAAGGCAAUCAGCUCAAAGUUGUACGAAUGCCAGGCUGAAAAAUGACUCAUUCAUUCAUUCAUUCAUUCAUCCAUCCAAUGAGCUUCAUUGGUUGAGUAUGUUCAUUUCAAAAUCACCCAUCCUACAAUAUAAGCACCAGCUCACAUUAACUAUACCAAGCAAGAUUCAAUUUUUUUAUCUUUGAGCAAGUCAUCCAAUGUCGGUGAAAUCUUGCUUACCCAUGCCUAGAAGGCAAUGGUCUGGCAAUUGUAGUACUCAAAAUAUAACCCCCAAUUUGUUAUCCAUUGAACUUGAAAUUAAUAUAAUUAUAAUAUAAUUCAUGAUCAUAUUCUUGUACUGAUAUAUCGGUAGUUAGAUGAUGAGGAUGCAUCUUAUUCUCAGUUAUUGAUUUUUAGACUGAGUCUAUUUUUAUUUUUGUCAAUCUUUUACUGAAUAGGAUAUAGGUGGAGGUAGCAAGUGUGACGAGUUUAACCGGAGAGCUGCAGGCAACAACUUGUAAAAGAAGAAAAAUCUUUCCGAACCAGAAAUCGCAGCAUGCAGGCACGGGCUUGCGCAGAAUGCCAUUAAUAUGAUGUAUGGCGAGAUUUAUGGAUAUGCCCAUUACCUGCAGAUAAAUCAUUUUAUACCUAAGGGGGUCAAGUUUUUAUGGUACGAUGUUGUUGUAUCGGCCUUGCCUGUGUUGCCUGUAUUGGCCUUGGCUCUAUUGUCAGAACAAGAAUAAGUGAAUAGCCACUUUUCAAGACUUGGCUCCACUACCAAGCAUAUGCUUCCAGAAGGUUUGAGUGUGAUCUUUAUACGCUAACCUUUACACGUUUUCUCACAUAGUAUGUUGUUAUGUUUGCCGGUUGACAAAAGCUCAAUUUUACGUACAGGAAAUCUUUCUAAAAAGGAACAAACAUUUUGAAAGAAAAACAAUGUAAUCAUUGUUGGACUUUUUUUAUCAGGACGAGAAGAAUUACUGACAGAGCAUGCUGUGGAGUGGAACA